rnacentral:rRNA from 1 species
AACGAACGCUGGCGGCAUGCCUAACACAUGCAAGUCGAACGAGACCUUCGGGUCUAGUGGCGCACGGGUGCGUAACGCGUGGGAACCUGCCCUUAGGUUCGGAAUAACUCCCCGAAAGGGUGCUAAUACCGGAUAAUGUCUUCGGACCAAAGAUUUAUCGCCUUUGGAUGGGCCCGCGUUGGAUUAGCUAGUUGGUAGGGUAAAAGCCUACCAAGGCGACGAUCCAUAGCUGGUCUGAGAGGAUGAUCAGCCACACUGGGACUGAGACACGGCCCAGACUCCUACGGGAGGCAGCAGUGGGGAAUAUUGGACAAUGGGCGAAAGCCUGAUCCAGCAAUGCCGCGUGAGUGAUGAAGGCCUUAGGGUUGCAAAGCUCUUUUACCCGGGAUGAUAAUGACAGUACCGGGAGAAUAAGCUCCGGCUAACUCCGU